rnacentral:rRNA from 1 species
ACAGUACCGGUGUGUGGUUGGUGACUAAUAACUUUCCGGAUCACAAUAAUUUAUUUUGUGACAUAUCAUUCGAGUUUCUGACCUAUCAGCUUAGGACGGUAGGGUAUUGGCCUACCGUGGGUAUCACGGGUAACGGGGAAUUAGGUUUCGAUUCCGGAGAGGGAGCCUGAGACCCCGCUACCACAUCUAAGGAAGGCAGCAGGCGCGCAAAUUACCCAAUCCUAAUACAGGGAGGGAGUGACAAGAAAUAACAAUACAGGACUUUUCGGUUUUGUAAGAGGAAAGAGUUAAGUAUAAACCCCUUUACAAAUAUCAAGGGGAGGGCAAGUCUGGUGCCAGCAGCCGCGGUAAUUCCAGCUCCAAUAGCGUAUAUUAAAGUUGUUGCAGUUAAAAAGCUGGUAGUUGGAUUUUUGUUAAUACCUUAUAUAUUUUUUUUUUUAAAUAUUAAUAAGUAAGAUUAACUUUCAUUUUUUUAAGAGUGUUUUUUUAGUUUUUAUAAUAAAAAAUUUUACUUUGAGAAAAUUAGAGUGCUUAACGCAGGCUUUCGCCUUGAAUUCUCCCGCAUGGAAUAAUAAUAAAAGAUUUUUAUUUUUUUUUAAUUGGUUCUAAGAUAAAAAUAAUGAUUAAUAGGGACAGUUUGGGGCAUUUGUAUUUAACAGUCAGAGGUGAUAUUCUUAGAUUUGUUAAAGACAAACUAAUGCGAAAGCAUUUGCCAAGGAUGUUUUCAUUAAUCAAGAACGGAAGUUAGGGGAUCGAAGACGAUCAGAUACCGUCGGAAGCUUAACCAUAAACUAUGCCAACUAGAGAUGGAGG